rnacentral:misc_RNA from 1 species
GAAUCUUCAAUUCCUUCUUCAAUAUUUUCAAGGGCGUGUAUCUGCUUUGAUGUUUCCCUGUUCUUUGACUUCUUUUUCUUCUCCUUCUUUGGCUUUGAUUUCUUGUUCUUUCUAGAUCCACAGCAAUGGCAACACCAUUUUGGCCAACAGUUGCAGGUCUUGCCAGGGGGCUUCUUCUUGACAGGCGCAUCAUAACCAUAAAGAGCUUGCCUUCUGAAAACACACCCAGUUCCAACAUAUAUGGGACCUUGCAAACCAUCUAAUCCUUUCAUGUU